rnacentral:rRNA from 1 species
UACGUAGGGGGCAAGCGUUGUCCGGAUUUAUUGGGCGUAAAGAGCGUGUAGGCGGCCAGAUAGGUCCGUUGUGAAAACUCGAGGCUCAACCUCGAGACGCCGAUGGAAACCAUCUGGCUAGAGUCCGGAAGAGGAGAGUGGAAUUCCUGGUGUAGCGGUGAAAUGCGCAAAUAUCAGGAAGAACACCCGUGGCUAAGGCGGCUCUCUAGUACGGUACUGACGCUGAGACGCGAAAGCGUGGGGAGCGAACAGG